GUGGAAACAGGGUAGAAUACAAAACAGGAGCAAGAAUGCUGCGUAUUGUCUGAGGGAGAGCAGGCCGAAGACAAUGCGAGCCUUCAUUUGGCUUGUGUCCAUUGUGCCUGGGAUUCCUUGGGUUGCGUCUCAGCCGAAGAAGAAGCAGAAGAAGAAGAGGAGAAAGGUCUUGUUGUUGCUCGGUGUUUGCUGAUUGAUACCUCGCUGCUCUCUCGUGAUGUCACCUUGUGCUUCUGAAUGCCCUUGACUGAUGGCGCUGCUGUUUUCUUCUGUUUCGCUGCCUCACCUUUCCAUUUCCUGCGCUCAGAAUAGAGGAAUCGGAGAGGAGUUGGAUUACGAGCAAGACGGAGGAGAUGAAUCAAAUGGAAGACGAGAUCCAGACAAAAGGACGUCCUGAAAGUCUAGAAGCCGACUGAGGAGGAGAAUUGUUGCUGUAACGAGUGGAAGACAUCAAAACUCUCUUUUCAGUCACAUAUGAAAGGAAUUCCAGGUGCAGAACUUGUUUUAGUUCAGUUUGAUCUCACGUGGGCUGGACCAGUAAAAUCACAGCAAAAUCCCCCAUAAUUAACCACAACUCCAAAUGUUUCCCUUUGUUUUAGUGCAACACAGUGCAUUGUUCACAUUGAAUGAAGUGUCUUUUUACAAAGCAUUAUAAACAACCUGAAAUUUCUUAAGAAAAAUAAGUGAUAUUUUAACAUUACGCCUCAGUUUAUCAUUUGUGCAUUACAACUUACAGAUCACAGUGUGUCUAUAAGAAGUGAAGCACUGAAAAAUAGAGUUAAGACGUGUAUGAAAUACAUCAUGAUGAAUAUUCUAGUAAUGACUGAUGUGAUGGUACUGUGUGCCUGUGGAGGACGGACACACACACACGGAGCUGGAAGAUCAUGAAGUAAAACAUGUAUUUUUGGUGUGCAGACAAAUCAAAUGCUUUGUCGAAAAAUGAAUAUUGAGUACUCAGAACAUAAUGGUAUGAAUUUAAGGCAACAUAGCUAUUAAGAAAGUUGUAUUAGAAGCAUGAUUACUCAGGCUCGGACAUUAACUUAUUUCGAUUAAUUAAAGAAAAAAUAACGCAUUUAAUUGCACCUUUCUCAGUUCUCUAAUUUCUGGCACACCACUGAUGAACCCUCCAGCCCAGUAGGUGGUCCUAAUGAGCCUAAAGUCUGUUUUUCAGCUGAUAGGACGCACUACUGAGUGACAUCAGCGCACAAGAAAGUUUGAUGAAAACUGAAGGAAGACGAGACCUUGUAUGGAGCUUGCUGGGCGGAAAGUUUUCUUUUAAAAAUCUUUCCGAUGGCAGCUUGGAUAAAAGCGUGGUUGUGUGCAAAAAGUUUUCUGAUCACUGCAGCACCUCAAUGUGAAGCAUGUUGCUGUUAGCACCAGAGCUAACGGUAGCUACGACAGUCCUGGUACUGGCCAACGAUAUAGCCAUCCCAUAAUCGCUAUAAUUGUACUUUGAGUUUGCAGUAAUCUGUGAAUGUUGCAGACAGAUGAAAAAUGCGGGAAAAUAAAAAUGAAACAAACAUUUUUGAUGUUUAA